rnacentral:lncRNA from 1 species
GGCAGCUGGGGGGGGACCUUCCUCGUGGCCCCCCCCCCACCCCCCCUCCAGCCAAUGUGGCCGGCACGGUGGGUGCAGGAUGCGGCCACGGGGAUGGGCACAGCACCAGGACCCUGCCGGGACGGUGGGUGCAGGAUGCGGCCGUGGGCAGGGGGACAGGGACGGCGCAGCACCAGGACCCAGCUCAUCAGGUGGGUGCCGGAUGCGGCCGCAGGGAUGGGGACAGCACCAGGACCCAGGUGCAGCGCAGGAUGUGGCCACGGGGAUGGGGACCAGGACCCUGCCGGGACGGUGGGUGCAGGAUGCGGCCCUGGGGACAGGGACAGGGCAGCACCAGGACCCGGCUCAUCAGGUGGGUGCAGGGUGUGGGGAUGGCACCAGGACCCAGGUGCAGUGCAGGAUGCGGCCCUGGGGACGGGGAUGGGGAUGGCCACCAGGACCCGGCUCAUCAGGUGGGUGCAGGAUGCGGCCACGGGGAUGGAGACGGCACCAGGACCCAGGUGCAGCGCAGGAUGCGGCCAUAGGGAUGGGGACCAGGACCCUGCCGGGACGGUGGGUGCAGGAUGUGGCCAUGGGGAGAGGGAUGGGGACAGCCCCAGGACCCAGGUGAAGUGCAGGAUGCGGCCACGGGGACAGGGAUGGCCGCUGGGACCCAGCUCAUCAGGUGGGUGCAGGAUGCGGCCGCAGGGAUGUGCACCGUGCCCCAGGUGGUGAAGGGCAGGAUGCGGGCACUGGGAUCGGCACCGGACCCAGGUGCAGUGCAGGAUGCGGCCAUGGGGAGGGGGACGGGGACAGCACCAGGACCCGGCUCAUCAGGUGGCUGUAGGGUGCAGGGACGGCACCAGGACCCAGGUGCAGUGCAGGAUGUGGGCACCAGGACCCAGCUCACCAGGUGGGAGCAGGAUGCGGCCGCAGGGAUGCGCACCGUGCCCCAGCCGGUGACGUGCAGGAUGUGGGUACGGGGAUGGGCACCGCUGUGGUCAGCGCAACGGGCGCAGGACGUGGACACGGGCACAGGGAUGGGCACCAGGACCCAGCUCGUCAGGUGGGUGCAGGAUGCGGCCCUGGGGACAGGGACAGCCACCAGGACCCAGGUGAAGUGCAGGGUGCGGGCACAGGGCUGGGGACCACAACCCGACCAGGGUGCUGGGUGCAGGAUGCAGGUACAGGGACGGGCACCAGGACCCGGCUCACCAGGUGGGUACAGGAUGCGGCCCGGGGGGGCACCCACCACGACGACCCUGGCAGGACGCGGGCAUGGGGCCGCCCCCGCGGUGCGCCCGGCACGGUGGGUGCAGGAUGCGGGCAGGGGCCCCCCCCC